rnacentral:rRNA from 1 species
UACAGAGGGUGCGAGCGUUAAUCGGAAUUACUGGGCGUAAAGCGUGCGUAGACGGUUAUUUAAGUCGGAUGUGAAAUCUCCGGGCUUAACCCGGAGCGGCCAAGUGAUACUGUUGUGCUAGAGUGCGGAAGGGGCUACUGGAAUUCUCGGUGUAGCGGUGAAAUGCGUAGAUAUGCGGAGGAACACCGAUGGCGAAAGCAAUCCCCUGGGCCUGCACUGACGCUCAUGCACGAAAGCGUGGGGAGCAAACAGG